AUGCAUUGCGAGGUGGCCGAGGCACAGGCGGACAAGAGGCCCAAGGAGGCCCCCGGUGCGCCCGGUCCCGGCCGCGGGCCCGCCAACCUCGGGGCGCACAUGGCUUUCAGGGUCACCGUGAGCGGUGGCGGCUGCGGGGACAGGGGCCCGCGGGACCUACUAGCCCGAACGUCCGCGCCGCCGCGCGCCCACAACCUUCUCCGGCCCCGGAGCCCCCGAGACUACGGCCCGUCCAAGGCCGCCGCUGGGAAGGUGAACGGGAGCUACGGCCACUGCACCCCGGGCUCGGAGAAGAGCCUGCUGGACCUGGACCUUGCUGAGGGCCCCGGCCCCACCUGCUGCCAGGGCCUGUUUCUCCCCACGGGAACCCCGCCACCCCGGGGUCAACCCCCAGCCUGCGAGAGGCUGCUGCAUUUCCCCCACCCAAACAGGUCACCCAGGCCCCAGGCUACAUACGUGAACGGUGGCCUCCCAACCACACAACACAUCAAGCAGGAGUCCCUGCCUGACUUCCAGGCCAUGGCAGAGGCCCGCACGCCCCUGCCUGCCCACUGCCGGGCCCCGCCAGCCACCGGCCUGCACACAGACCUGGACCUCCCUGGCCAAGGCCUCGCCAACCCUGCACCUUCCUGCUACCUUCUAGGCAGCGAGCCCAGCUCUGGCCUGGGCCCCCAGCCCGAGGCCCACCUCCCCGAGGGCAGCCUGAAGCACUGCUGCCUCCUGGGCCUGCCCCCCACCUCCUCAGCCUCCUCCGACGUCACCCCCAUCAUCCGCUCCUCCCAGACGGCUCUGGUCACCUGUGUAAAUGGACUCCGGAGCCCCUCUCUGCCGGGGGACCUGGGGGGCCCUCCCAAGCGGGCCCGCCCUGGCCCUGUACCCACUGACAGCCAUGAGGGCAGCUUGCAACUUGAAGCCUGCCGGAAAGCGGCCUUCCUGAAGCAGGAGCCUGCAGAUGAGUUCUCUGAGCUCUUCGGGCCUCACCAGCAGGGUCUGCCACCCCCCUACCCCCUGCCUCAGUUGCCACCUGGCCAGGGCCUCGGAGGCCUGGGGCUGGGCCUGGCAGGCGGGGCGGUGGCCGGGCGGCAGGCGUGCCGCUGGGUGGACUGCUGUGCAGCCUACGAGCAGCAGGAGGAGCUGGUGCGGCACAUCGAGAAGAGCCACAUAGACCAGCGCAAGGGCGAGGACUUCACCUGCUUCUGGGCUGGCUGCGUGCGCCGCUACAAACCCUUCAAUGCCCGCUACAAGCUGCUCAUCCACAUGAGGGUGCACUCGGGCGAGAAGCCCAACAAGUGCAUGUUUGAAGGCUGCAGCAAGGCCUUCUCACGGCUGGAGAACCUCAAGAUCCACCUGAGGAGCCACACGGGCGAGAAGCCAUACCUGUGCCAGCACCCGGGCUGCCAGAAGGCCUUCAGCAACUCCAGCGACCGCGCCAAGCACCAGCGCACACACCUCGACACGAAGCCGUACGCCUGUCAGAUCCCCGGCUGCUCCAAGCGCUACACGGACCCCAGUUCCCUGCGCAAGCACGUAAAGGCCCAUUCAGCCAAAGAGCAGCAGGUGCGUAAGAAGCUGCACGUGGGCCCUGAGACGGAGGCCGACGUCCUGACCGAGUGUCUGGCCCUGCAGCAGCUCCACGCGGCCACACAGCUGGCUGCCAGUGACGGGAAGGGCGGCCGAGUCCCAGGCCAGGAGCUGCUCCCAGGUGUGUAUCCCGGCUCCGUCGCCCCUCACAACGGGCUCGCAUCAGGCAUCCUGCCCCCCACACACGACAUCCCUUCCAGGCAUCACCCGCUGGACGCCACCACCGGCUCCCACCACCAUCUGUCCCCUCUGCCCGUGGCUGAGAGCACCAGGGACGGGUUGGGGCCUGGCCUCCUCUCGCCCAUGGUCAGCCCACUGAAGGGGCUCGGGCCACCACCGCUGCCACCAUCCUCCCAGAGCCACUCCCCCGGGGGCCAGCCCUUCUCCACACUCCCCGGCAGGCCGUCCUACCCGCCCUUCCAGAGCCCCCCGCCCCCGCCUCUGCCCAGCCCGCAAGGUAAGCUCUGGUGGGGGCCGCUCCAGGUACCCUCCCACCUCCUGCUCAGGGACCCCAGAGGAGUCACCAGCCUGGAGGAGGCAGGUGGGUGCUCAGAGAAUGACGGGCCAGGCAUUGAGGGCCAGGCUGGGAGAAGCUGGGAGACAGGUGACCUAAAAGGCCUGGGCAGGGGCAAUUUCCUGGAGGAAAUUGGUUCAGAAAGUGAGAAGGAGUUUGUUUCGUGGACAAAGUAUCUGGGGACAUUCUUUGCUGAGGGCACAGCGUCGGUGGCGGCAGGGGUGGGAAAGCCGGUGGCUUGGAGCCACCGCGAGGGACUGGGAAUGCUGGGCCUGAGUGUGGAAGGAGUAGCAGGGCCACUGUCCCACCCUCAGAGCACUGGCAUCGGCCAAGGAGACCAUCUCAGCCACCUCUCGCCUGCCUACCACUCCAUGCAGGGCAGAGCAGAGAAAGGGGCCCAGACUGCUGGAGCCCCCUCCGCCCUGCUGUCUUCUCUCUGUCACACCCACGCUGCCUGGACGGGACAGCAAGGGGGACUGAGCAGUGCAGUGAGGAUGUCCCCUGCCUGCCCUGGGCGUUUUCCCUCUGUCAGCGCGGCCCCUGUCACCCCCUUCUGCAGGCUACCAAGGCAGUUUCCACUCCAUCCAGAACUGCUUCCCCUAUGGCGACUGCUACCGGACGACCGAGCCAGCAGCCGGUGGGGACGGACUGACCAGUGAAGCCCAAGGUUUCAACCCCCUGCGGCCCAAUGGCUACCACAGCCUCAGCGCACCCCUGCCCGCCACAGGCUACGAGGCCUCGUGCCCCACGGCACUGCCACCGCAGUCAUCUGAAGAUGUGGUGUCCAGCGGCCCUGAGGACUGUGGCU